UUGGCUGUGAAAAACUUAAAUUUUCAAAACAAACUUAAUUUCGAAUAAAAAUUUCAAAAUAUUUGUAAAUUUUCAAACAUUCUCAAGAUGACUAAAUCGUGUGAUUUGAUUUUUGCCACAUAUUGUGAAACUGCGAUAUAAAUUUUAUUUCAAUUGCUCGAGAAUAUUAGCGCAUCGUUGAAAAAUGCAAAUAAACAAAACCCGAGGUGAUUGCAAUCUCCAGGAAGAACAAUCGAACGUGUCUGUGAAUAGAUACAAUUUGUUACAGAAUCUAUUUACAUUGAGUUAAUUUGCUUUUUAGAAUUGGCUGGCUGUUUUAGUUCAUAAUUCUUCCGCAUUAAUAGACAUUAAUUUAGACAAAUCGCCGAACGAAAACAUCUUUCCGCAGACCAGGGACAUGAAUUGUUAGUUAACAUGUUUAUGUUAAAUAGCCUCUAAAUAGAUCAACACAUAUGGAUGUGUGUGUGUGUGUGCGAUGUGUUGUCGUUAUUAUUGUUAUUGGCUCGAAAAGGUGUUGCUUACAUCAAUGAUGGAAUUUGAAGGAAUGUGAAAAAUAUUCAGGAAUGCUCUAAGAAAAUCCUAUUUCCCCUGGGAAUCGUGGUUACAUUUUAGAACUGGUUGAACACGAUCUAAAAGCAUCAACUUGUCAUAGUCUUCGUUGUGUGUGUGUGGUUAAAACAACAAAAAAAGAAACACAUACAUAUUCGAACGCAUAUUAUAUAUGAAUAGACCUGAUGGGAUGUAAGUGAGAACAGUGCGCUAUAGAGGCGCGUAGCUGAAUUUAUUUGUCCUAUGGCAUGAUGCUCAUCAACACCUCGGUUCGUUAUCGCCGGCGACACAGCAAACUUACAUAAGUUGUAAAGGUUCGGAGCUAUAAGACUAGGAUUGUUUGUUCUACACCAUUUACACCACCUGAUUUUGAUUUAUCUGUGUGCAUAGUAUCAAUGUUAGCAGCACAGUGGCAUUCAAGUUAAGUGGCAAAAAAUGGAAUUAUUUAUAUUUAUACCCUACACCACUAUGUGGAGGAUAUAUUAUGUUUGACAUCGCUUGUAA